rnacentral:rRNA from 1 species
UACGUAGGGUGCGAGCGUUGUCCGGAAUUAUUGGGCGUAAAGCGCUUGUAGGCGGUUUGUCGCGUCUGCUGUGAAAAUCCGGGGCUCAACCCCGGACUUGCAGUGGGUACGGGCAGGCUAGAGUGUGGUAGGGGAGACUGGAAUUCCUGGUGUAGCGGUGAAAUGCGCAGAUAUCAGGAGGAACACCGAUGGCGAAGGCAGGUCUCUGGGCCACUACUGAUGCUGAGAAGCGAAAGCAUGGGGAGCGAACAGG